rnacentral:rRNA from 1 species
CACGUAGGGGGCGAGCGUUGUCCGGAAUCAUUGGGCGUAAAGAGCGUGUAGGCGGCCAAUUAAGUCCUGCGUGAAAUCUCGGGGCUCAACCUCGAGCUGUCGGUGGAAACUGCCUGGCUAGAGUCCGGAAGAGGAGUGUGGAAUUCCUGGUGUAGCGGUGAAAUGCGCAGAUAUCAGGAAGAACACCUAUGGCGAAGGCAGCACUCUGGGACGGUACUGACGCUGAGACGCGAAAGCGUGGGGAGCGAACAGG